rnacentral:lncRNA from 1 species
CUAUUAUCACCCCUUUCUUUAGUCAUUGUUGUUGCUGAAAGAAUUUUUGUCUAAAACUCAAAACAUCAAUGUCUUCAACUUAUUUUAUCUGAACUAGUUAAAAAGUGGAACAGAAAAGAAUUUUGGAGGAGCAACUAAGACACUAUUUUUUAAUCCAUUGCUCUUCAACAAUGUUUUCAUCAAACUAAUAAUCAUGGGGGAAGAUAGAAAAUUGUAUCUCUGUGAAAAUGAAGAUGAUACAUUAUUAUAAUCCCAAUUCUAAUAAAAUCUUCACUAGUUUUGCUACUCGAAUAUAAAAAUACAGCAAAUCAACACUGGUCAAAAGUGAUGAUGCUGCAUUUUCUUUUUCAAAACCCAAUGCUCUAGUAUCAUAGAAUAUAAAAAGGAAAGCAUUAGUACAGUAGCUACAGUUUGCUUACCUUUUUAUAUUUAUUUGAAUAGAGCCAAGUGCUGAGAUGGGAUACCUGGAGAUGGUAGAACAUUUUGCUCUUCAGUUCUGUCAUCAGGGCUCUUUCUUUUCACUCCAUCUGCCAAUUAUGAUGUCUCCCUGCUCAUGAGCGAAGUAUGCGAACUUGGGAGAAUCGUCAUGCUAUGUUACUAAUCAAGCUCACAAGUCUAGUAAAUUGGGGCAUUAAAUAUGUUUGUGUGAACAUACAUGCACAUGCAUGUGUUUUAUGUGUACACAUGUUUGAAAUUAAAGCUCAGUUUUUGUUUUGAACAAAAGGCAUCUAUGUCUGUAACAGCCUAUUUGGAUUUUAUUUAAUAGGUGUUUUGUGAAAUGAUUCUCCUGCCUCAGCUUCCCAAGUAGCUGGGAUUACAGGCACACGCCACCAUGCCCAGCUAAGUUUUUUAUAUUUUAGUAGAGAUGGGGUUCCACCGUGUUGCCAAGGCUGGUCUCGAACUCCUGAGCUCAGGCAAUCCACCCAUCUCAGCCUCCCAAAGUGCCAGGAUUACAGGCGUGAGAGAUUUCUCAGUCCACAGCAGGACCCUUCUGACAGAGGCAGUGGCUGAAGCGAUACGUGGCCUCUCUGUGAAGCUAACAUUUCCAAACCCACGAGAGACUUUUCCAAGAAGAAUUAUAGUCAUCCAUUCAGAGCAGCAGGAGCUUCAGAAGAUCUGGGACUUCAGGUGUGAGAGUGACAGACAGGACACUGAGGAGCAGUUGCAUGAAAGGGGAGAGGAGGCAUUUUGUUUGUUUUCUAUGUAUUUGUAUACUUAUUUAUAAUCCCGAGUGAUGUUUUCCUUUACAUAUUUCCUUUAAUGCAUAUCCCAACUCUACAAUUAUUUAUGUUCAAUAUUACCUCAUAUCUCCAUCUCAAAGCAAGUGCAUGCUGAGGCCUCACACCCAGCUCAGCCCGUGGGUAUGUGCAUGCGAAGUCACAGAAUCACUUUAGGUUAGAGUUUACGCAUUGGCUGGCUUUUAUCUGCAAAGCAGGUACUGUUUCCAGGCUACAUGUAAUAACAGAAAUACAUCAAGGAUUUGACAAUCUUCUCCAGCUUUUGUUGUAUGACCUCAUCAGGGGCCCAGCAAUGCAUGGAGAAGCAGUCUCCAACCUGUUGAAUUAGAUGAUAGAAAAAAAAUAAAAGCCUGGCAUUGUUCUGAGUCACAUGAUGAAAAGUCAUCACUUUAACCAGGCACCUUUCAUAUGUAGAGGUGGCACUAAGUUAAAUAAUCACCAGGCCUGGCACUCCCUAAUUAGGAGAUAUGAACCAAGCAUUUCAGUUUCACUGAAUCAAUCUUUCUUUCUCCUUCUUUCUUUCUUUCUUUCUUUCUUUCUUUCUUUCUUUCUUUCUUUCUUUCUUUCUUUCUUUCUUUCUCUCCUUCCUUC